AUUGUAGCAAUACAAGGCAUACGGCUCAGUAACGCGUAGUCAACCUAACCUAUGGACGGGAAUAACCUCGGGAAACUGAGAAUAAUGCCCGAUAGAACAUUAUACCUGGAAUGGUUUAUGUUCCAAAUGAUUUAUCGCCGUAGGAUGGGACUGCGGCCUAUCAGUUUGUUGGUGAGGUAAUGGCCCACCAAGACUAUUACAGGUACGGGCUCUGAGAGGAGUAGCCCGGAGAUGGGUACUGAGACACGGACCCAGGCCCUAUGGGGCGCAGCAGGCGAGAAAACUUUGCAAUGUGCGAAAGCACGACAAGGUUAAUCCGAGUGAUUUCUGCUAAAGAAAUCUUUUGUUAGUCCUAGAAACACUAACGAAUAAGGGGUGGGCAAGUUCUGGUGUCAGCCGCCGCGGUAAAACCAGCACCUCAAGUGGUCAGGAUGAUUAUUGGGCCUAAAGCAUCCGUAGCCGGCUUUGUAAGUUUUCGGUUAAAUCUGUACGCUUAACGUACAGGCCGCCGGGAAUACUGCAAAGCUAGGGAGUGGGAGAAGUAGACGGUACUCGGUAGGAAGUGGUAAAAUGCUUUGAUCUAUCGAUGACCACCUGUGGCGAAGGCGGUCUACUAGAACACGUCCGACGGUGAGGGAUGAAAGCUGGGGGAGCAAACCGGAUUAGAUACCCGGGUAGUCCCAGCUGUAAACUAUGCAAACUCAGUGAUGCAUUGGCUUGUGGCCAAUGCAGUGCUGCAGGGAAGCCGUUAAGUUUGCCGCCUGGGAAGUACGUACGCAAGUAUGAAACUUAAAGGAAUUGGCGGGGGAGCACCACAAGGGGUGAAGCCUGCGGUUCAAUUGGAUUCAACGCCGGA
rnacentral:rRNA from 1 species